CCCUAGGUGGUGAAAAUGGUUAACAUGCUAGGCUGCUAACUUAAAGACUGGAGGUUUGACUUCACCUAGGGG
rnacentral:tRNA from 1 species